rnacentral:rRNA from 1 species
UACGUAGGGACCGAGCGUUGUCCGGAAUCAUUGGGCGUAAAGAGCGUGUAGGCGGCCUUUUAAGUCCUGCGUGAAAUCCUGCGGCUCAACCGCAGACGGUCGUGGGAAACUGGAAGGCUAGAGUGCGGGAGAGGAGAGUGGAAUUCCCGGUGUAGCGGUGAAAUGCGCAGAUAUCGGGAAGAACACCCGUGGCGAAGGCGGCUCUCUGGAACGCAACUGACGCUGAGACGCGAAAGCGUGGGGAGCAACAGGG